rfam:Triticum aestivum genome assembly, contig: Triticum_aestivum_CS42_TGACv1_scaffold_251077_3DL
UAUAUACUCCCUCCUUCCCAUAUUAAUUGACGCUGAAAUGGAUGUACCUAUACGUAUUUCACUGCUAGAUACAUCCAUUUGAGUGUCAAUUAAUAUGGAACGGAGGGAGUAUCAU